rnacentral:rRNA from 1 species
UACGGGGGGGGCAAGCGUUGUUCGGAAUUACUGGGCGUAAAGGGCUCGUAGGCGGCCAACUAAGUCGGAUGUGAAAUCCCCAAGCUUAACUUGGGAACUGCAUCCGAUACUGGAUGGCUUGAAUCCGGGAGAGGGAUGCAGAAUUCCAGGUGUAGCGGUGAAAUGCGUAGAUAUCUGGAGGAACACCGGUGGCGAAGGCGGGUCUCUGGGCAAUUCCUGACGCUGAGGCGCGAAAGCGUGGGGAGCAAACGGG